rnacentral:rRNA from 1 species
GACGAUCGCUGGCGGCGUGCUUAACACAUGCAAGUCGAACGGAAAGGCCCUGCUUUUGUGGGGUGCUCGAGUGGCGAACGGGUGAGUAACACGUGAGUAACCUGCCCUUGACUUUGGGAUAACUUCAGGAAACUGGGGCUAAUACCGGAUAGGAGCUCCUGCUGCAUGGUGGGGGUUGGAAAGUUUCGGCGGUUGGGGAUGGACUCGCGGCUUAUCAGCUUGUUGGUGGGGUAGUGGCUUACCAAGGCUUUGACGGGUAGCCGGCCUGAGCGGUUGACCGGCAACAUUGGGACUGAGAUACGGCCCAGACUCCUACGGGAGGCAGCAGUGGGGAAUAUUGCACAAUGGGCGGAAGCCUGAUGCAGCAACGCCGCGUGCGGGAUGACGGCCUUCGGGUUGUAAACCGCUUUAGCCUGUGACGAAGCGUGAGUGACGGUAAUGGGUAAAGAAGCACCGGCUAACUACGUG